rnacentral:tRNA from 1 species
GGCCCCCGUUAGCUCAGUUGGUUAGAGCGUCGUGCUAAUAACGCGAAGGUCGCGGGUUCGAUCCCCUCACGGGCCA